CUCUACUUCUGUCCUUCAGUUGAAGUGGAAUAGAAUGUUCCCUCUACUUCUGUCCUUCAGUUGAAGUGGAAUAGAAUGUUCCCUCUACUUCUGUCCUUCAGUUGAAGUGGAAUAGAAUGUUCCCUCUACUUCUGUCCUUCAGUUGAAGGUGAAUAGAAUGUGCCCUCUACUCCUCUUUCAGUUGAAGGGGAAUAGAAUGUUCCCUCUACUUCUGUCCUUCAGUUGAAGUGGAAUAGAAUGUUCCCUCUACUUCUGUCCUUCAGUUGAAGUGGAAUAGAAUGUUCCCUCUACUUCUGUCCUUCAGUUGAAGUGGAAUAGAAUGUUCCCUCUACUUCUGUCCUUCAGUUGAAGGUGAAUAGAAUGUGCCCUCUACUCCUCUUUCAGUUGAAGGGGAAUAGAAUGUUCCCUCUACUUCUGUCCUUCAGUUGAAGGUGAAUAGAAUGUUCCGUCUACUUCUGUCCUUCAGUUGAAGGGGAAUAGAAUGUUCCCUCUACUCCUCUUUCAGUUGAAGGAGAAUAGAAUGUUCCCUCUACUUCUGUUCUUCAGUUGAAGGAGAAUAGAAUGUUCCCUCUACUUCUGUCCUUCAGUUGAAGGGGAAUAGAAUGUUCCCUCUACUCCUCUUUCAGUUGAAGGUGAAUAGAAUGUUCUGUCUACUUCUGUCCUUCAGUUGAAGGAGAAUAGAAUGUUCCCUCUACUCCUCUUUCAGUUGAAGGUGAAUAGAAUGUUCCGUCUACUUCUGUCCUUCAGUUGAAGGUGAAUAGAAUGUUCCCUCUACUCCUCUUUCAGUUGAAGGUGAAUAGAAUGUUCCGUCUACUUCUGUCCUUCAGUUGAAGGUGAAUAGAAUGUUCCCUCUACUCCUCUUUCAGUUGAAGGAGAAUAGAAUGUUCCCUCUACUUCUGUCCUUCAGUUGAAGGACAAUAGAAUGUUCCCUCUACUCCUCUUUCAGUUGAAGGAGAAUAGAAUGUUCCCUCUACUUCUGUCCUUCAGUUGAAGGGGAAUAGAAUGUUCCCUCUACUUCUGUCCUUCAGUUGAAGGGGAAUAGAAUGUUCCCUCUACUCCUCUUUCAGUUGAAGGAGAAUAGAAUGUUCCCUCUACUUCUGUCUUUCAGUUGAAGGACAAUAGAAUGUUCCCUCUACUCCUCUUUCAGUUGAAGGGGAA